GGGAGCGGGCGGCGCGGCUGCGGGGCCGGGCGGCGGCGGCGGCAUGGCGGAGAGCGAGGCCGAGACCCCCAGCACCCCGGGCGAGUUCGAGAGCAAGUACUUCGAGUUCCACGGCGUGCGGCUGCCGCCCUUCUGCCGCGGGAAGAUGGAGGAGAUCGCCAACUUCCCGGUGCGGCCCAGCGACGUGUGGAUCGUCACCUACCCCAAGUCCGGCACCAGCUUGCUGCAGGAGGUGGUCUACUUGGUGAGCCAGGGGGCCGACCCUGAUGAGAUCGGCUUGAUGAACAUCGAUGAGCAGCUCCCGGUCCUGGAGUACCCACAGCCGGGCCUGGACAUCAUCAAGGAGCUGACGUCGCCUCGCCUCAUCAAGAGUCACCUCCCCUACCGUUUCCUGCCCUCCGAUCUCCACAAUGGUGAUUCUAAGGUCAUAUACAUGGCUCGGAACCCCAAGGACCUGGUGGUGUCCUACUACCAGUUCCACCGCUCCCUGCGGACCAUGAGCUACCGGGGCACUUUCCAGGAGUUCUGCCGGAGGUUCAUGAACGACAAGCUGGGUUACGGCUCCUGGUUUGAGCACGUGCAGGAGUUCUGGGAGCACCGCCUGGACUCGAACGUGCUUUUCCUCAAGUAUGAAGACAUGCACCGGGACCUGGUGACCAUGGUGGAGCAGCUGGCCAGAUUCCUGGGGGUGUCCUGCGACAAGGCGCAGCUGGAGGCCCUGAGCGAGCACUGCCACCAGCUGGUGGACCAGUGCUGCAACGCCGAGGCCCUGCCCGUGGGCCGGGCACAUUGCCUCUUUGCUCAGAAGACCUCCUUGCGUUGGUGAGAACGUAGGGCUUGAGCAGACAGCUGCGUUGCUUAAAUUUGAUUCAUAUCACAGCAUAUAUUGCACUGUCUUGAUUCCAAACCCUAAACCAGGAAGAGUCGGGCUGUGGAAGGACAUCUUCACUGUCUCCAUGAACGAGAAGUUUGACUUGGUGUACAAACAGAAGAUGGGGAAGUGUGACCUGACGUUUGACUUUUAUUUAUAAUCACGGCGACGGCAAACUUGCAUGCUCACAGCACCCAGACACUCUACUAGCUAAAAGUCCCGUAUGCACUCAUUUGUUCCUUGCUGGACGAACUCCGGAAGCAGCGUGAGGCCCGGGGGAGGGAGGGAACGGCGGAGACGCCGGAGGAAGAGGGGGCCCUGCUUCCCCUCCGGAGCAGCCGUGUCGCCUUUGGGCUUUGAAGUCUCUCCGUGUCCGACCACAAGCGUUGUAAAGAUGGCGGUUCUGACGGCCUGUAUCAUAAGUAUAGAGUCUGUAACAUACGCAGCUAGAACGUCUACCUUUUACAACCCCACAUUAUUUAUUGUAUUUUAUAGAGCUUUUCACUUGGAAAUCUAAAUAAAUGUCAGUAAACCAAAUAGAAGUUCAUUUCCGAGGGGACUCAGGAGCGAGCCACACCCAAAUGGUAGGAAGAUCUCAGGGUUGACUCUUUAUUUUUGUAGUUCUGUUCUGUAUGGCACAGCCGUUCUGUUCUCACCCGGUUUGGAGGUGACGACACAGGAGGAGUUGGGUGUGUGGGGGCCGCUGUUCCUUUCGAUGAGUUCAGUGCUCUGAAACCUUCCUGAAACAAAGCAGAGACCGUCCGCUCGGCAUCUGCAGGGAGGAUGGCCCUCUGCCAGGGACUCCCAGCGGGUGGCCUCAGACACCCGAUACGGAGGAACCCGCAGAACGUUCCUUGAGGGAACCUGCCGGGGAGGCCGGCCGACGGGCUCUCACGCGGUGACCGGAGAACCUGCCGCAGAGACCGAGCGUACGUGGAGUCUGAGUUGUCCUUCCACGAACUCUCGUUCCCUGAGGCAGAGACCUCUUUAUGCUGGUGAGCAGAUGCUCCAUAGUAAAUUCCUCAGACUCGCUCACGGGUCAGUCUGUUCUGUGUGCACCUGAGGCUCCCGGCCACGGGAGAGCCACUUUGCAGGUUCAACGCCCUGUUUCACUCAGACUGGUUGGCCGUCUCGCCUUUGCACCCCAGUGUACCUGCGGGCGCACGGCCUUUGCACCCCAGUGUAUCUGCGGGAGCACAGGUGAUUGUCUUCACCGCCCCACCCCUUGCUUCGUCGUCUGGCCCGCAUUUGGCUGGGGAAGCGAUGAGACGCGGCCAGGCCGGCCGCCAGCGUGCGUGUUGCCGCCGCGGCGGGACUGGGGUCGUCUUGGAAGUUUACGUGGCCGGCAGGCGCCCCCGGUGGUGGCUGGAGGGUCGCCACCACGUGUAAGGGUCUCUGUGCUGUGUUGCUGUCUUGGAAGAGGUGCAGACACACGCCGGUGUUUUAUGCGGCGUUGCAUGGUGGGCUUGGCUGCGCCUUUUCUGUGUAUCUGUGAGGGAGGCUGCUUUCUGUGAAAUUUCUUUUCUAUUUUUCUAUUUUUAGUACUGUAUGGAUAUUACUGAGCACCACACAUGAUCUGUCUGUGCUUGCUUGCAUCUUUAAUAAAGACACGUCCCAUGC